UGGCGGCAGGCAGUUCUCGAAGGUGGGGCUGCCUGCCCUGCAUUUGUAUCCAGAGAGCACUCCGUGGACGCUGGUGUGGACUGACGGGGGUCUCCCGGUGCCCUGGCCGCCACGCCCUGCCCUUCCCGCCCUCGGGGGGAACAGCAAAGUGAGUGGAGGCAGGAGGGGCGCCUCUCCCCGCGGAGGGCGCCGUGUGUGUGUCGGGAUGGUGAGGCCAGGCAGUGGGAAGGGAGGCCGGGAGCGGCCUGAGCAGGUGGGCGAUGUUCGGGCUCCCGCGUUCUUCACCCGCCGGGCUCUUAGGGCUUCAGAACGCUCAUGGGGUCGCGGGCGUGCAAGCCACGUGGGACCCUCCCUGUGGUGAUGCGUGGGGCACCUCGGGGGUGACUUCCAGCUUCCGUGCCGUUCGUCUCUCCUCCCGGCUCGUGCCUCCGUUUGACCAUCUGUAGGCUGGGGACAAGGGGGGGCUGGGCAGCCAACGCCGGUCGGUCCCUUUUCUUUCCGAGCCAAGGGCCUGGAGGACAACGAGCCCAGCCCGGGCGACCCUCGAUUCCACGGUCCCGUCCCGAUCCUGUCACAGCGGGAGGCAGAGGACAGGGUCGCACGAGUACGGGUCCUGUUUCCAGUACAGCUUGUCUCUCUCCUCGGCUUUGGUCCCCGGCCCCUCCCUUCCUGCCUGGAUUUGCCAAAAUGCCAGCCACCCGCAGUCCGUCCCGGGCCACUGUCACCGUAGCAAAUCCCUGUACGUUUUCGUGGUUCUCUGGCAAGACCCGCUGCCCGGUCUCCCAGGGCUCUUUCUUUCUACUCCUGCCUAGACCCACAGCGGCUUCACCCCACCCGCGGCCACUUCCCUUGGGGUCCUACGAGCCUGCCAAGGGGGUUUUCCGGCGCAUUCCGUGAACGGGAGCCUUCCUCGGUUCUACGAGAGGGAGAAAGUCUCAGGUUGGGGACCUGGGGAAGCUUCCAGACUUGCAGCCUGGGGCCCAGGCCUGCAGCUUUGCCUUCCCAGUGUCCUCAGGACGGAGCCCUCGGCAGGCCCGCCCGCCACUGCCCGGGGACCCUCUGCUGCCCGGGGCCCCGCGCCCCUCGAGGCGCCGAGCAGGGCCCCGACUUCCCCAGCGCCCCGCCAGCUUCAGAAGUCACAGCCCAAACGCCAUGCCGUAUACGUCAUGGCAGACAGCGUGCAUGACGCUAGGAACCUGUAUACAUAGCCCCGUGUACAUAUUUAUAUAUUCCUAUUAUAAAUACACAAAGCAUGGCAAUCCUUUGGCAUUCCAAAUCUGUGUUUUUUUAAAUCCUGGAAAUACAACUUUAGACACCUUUUCUUCCUGUUUCUCUUUUCUAUGUAAUAAACGUUCAUGUGACCUUUCUGGUGGCUUCUCAA